AUACGUAGGGGGCGAGCGUUGUCCGGAAUGAUUGGGCGUAAAGGGCGCGUAGGCGGCCUGUUAAGUCUGGAGUGAAAGUCCUGUUUUCAAGAUGGGAAUUGCUUUGGAUACUGAUGGGCUUGAGUGCAGGAGAGGUUAUCGGAAUUCCCGGUGUAGCGGUGAAAUACGUAGAGAUCGGGAGGAACACCAGUGGCGAAGGCGGGUAACUGGACUGCAACUGACGCUGAGGCGCGAAAGUGUGGGGAGCAAACAGGAUUAGAUACCCUGGUAGUCCACACUGUAAACGAUGAAUGCUAGGUGUAAGAGGUAUCGACCCCUUUUGUGCCGGAGUUAACACAAUAAGCAUUCCGCCUGGGGAGUACGGCCGCAAGGUUGAAACUCAAAUGAAUUGACGGGG
rnacentral:rRNA from 1 species